rnacentral:rRNA from 1 species
AUUGAACGCUGGCGGCAUGCCUUACACAUGCAAGUCGAACGGCAGCACGGGUGCUUGCACCUGGUGGCGAGUGGCGAACGGGUGAGUAAUACAUCGGAACAUGUCCUGUAGUGGGGGAUAGCCCGGCGAAAGCCGGAUUAAUACCGCAUACGAUCUACGGAUGAAAGCGGGGGACCUUCGGGCCUCGCGCUAUAGGGUUGGCCGAUGGCUGAUUAGCUAGUUGGUGGGGUAAGGGCCUACCAAGGCGACGAUCAGUAGCUGGUCUGAGAGGACGACCAGCCACACUGGGACUGAGACACGGCCCAGACUCCUACGGGAGGCAGCAGUGGGGAAUUUUGGACAAUGGGCGAAAGCCUGAUCCAGCAAUGCCGCGUGUGCGAAGAAGGCCUUCGGGUUGUAAAGCACUUUUGUCCGGAAAGAAAUCCUUGGCCCUAAUACGGUCGGGGGAUGACGGUACCGGAAGAAUAAGCACCGGCUAACUACGUG